rnacentral:rRNA from 1 species
AUUGAACGCUGGCGGCAGGCUUAACACAUGCAAGUCGAGCGGGGUGAUGGUGCUUGCACUAUCACUUAGCGGCGGACGGGUGAGUAAUGCUUAGGAAUCUGCCUAUUAGUGGGGGACAACAUCUCGAAAGGGAUGCUAAUACCGCAUACGUCCUACGGGAGAAAGCAGGGGAUCACUUGUGACCUUGCGCUAAUAGAUGAGCCUAAGUCGGAUUAGCUAGUUGGUGGGGUAAAGGCCUACCAAGGCGACGAUCUGUAGCGGGUCUGAGAGGAUGGUCCGCGACACUGGGACUGAGACACGGCCAGACGCCUACGGGAGGCAGCAGUGGGGAAUAUUGGACAAUGGGGGGAACCCUGAUCCAGCCAUGCCGCGUGUGUGAAGAAGGCCUUAUGGUUGUAAAGCACUUUAAGCGAGGAGGAGGCUCUUUUGGUUAAUACCCAAGAUGAGUGGACGUUACUCGCAGAAUAAGCACCGGCUAACUCUGUGCCAGCCGCCGCCGUAAAAC